rfam:Halomonas sp. S2151 contig0122, whole genome shotgun sequence.
GCGGUAGAGGAGCGUCGUGUAAGCCGAUGAAGGUGUGUUGAGAAGCAUGCUGGAGGUAUCACGAGUGCGAAUGCUGACAUGAGUAACGACAAGGGGAGUGAAAAACUCCCCCGCCGGAAGACCAAGGGUUUCUGUUCGACGCUAAUCGGAGCAGAGUGAGUCGGCCCCUAAGGCGAGGCCGAAAGGCGUAGUCGAUGGGAAACGGGUCAAUAUUCCCGUACCUCACAGUAUUGCGAUGGGGGGACGAAGAAGGCUAGGUGAGCCAGGCGUUGGUUGUCCUGGUGAAAGCCGGUAGGCUGAGGAUUCAGGUAAAUCCGGAUCCUUAAGGCCGAGAGGCGAGACGAACUGACUACGGUCAGGAAGUCAUCGAUGCCACGCUUCCAGGAAAAGCCUCUAAGCUUCAGAUACUGUGAGACCGUACCCCAAACCGACACAGGUGGUCAGGUAGAGAAUACCAAGGCGCUUGAGAGAACUCGGGUGAAGGAACUAGGCAAAAUGGUGCCGUAACUUCGGGAGAAGGCACGCCGCAUUAGGGUGAAGGUCCUCGCGACCGGAGCCUGACGCGGUCGAAGAUACCAGGUGGCUGCAACUGUUUAUUAAAAACACAGCACUCUGCAAACGCGCAAGCGGACGUAUAGGGUGUGACGCCUGCCCGGUGCCGGAAGGUUAAGUGAUGGUGUUAGCUCACGCGAAGCUCCUGAUCGAAGCCCCGGUAAACGGCGGCCGUAACUAUAACGGUCCUAAGGUAGCGAAAUUCCUUGUCGGGUAAGUUCCGACCUGCACGAAUGGCGUAAUGAUGGCCACGCUGUCUCCACCCGAGACUCAGUGAAAUUGAAAUCGCAGUGAAGAUGCUGUGUACCCGCGGCUAGACGGAAAGACCCCGUGAACCUUUACUACAGCUUCACACUGGACGCUGAUGUUGCUUGUGUAGGAUAGCUGGGAGGCUUUGAAACCCUGUCGCCAGAUGGGGUGGAGCCAACCUUGAAAUACCAGCCUGGCAUCAUUGGCGUUCUAACUCAGGACCGUAAUCCGGUUCGAGGACCGUGUGUGGUGGGUAGUUUGACUGGGGCGGUCUCCUCCCAAAGAGUAACGGAGGAGCACGAAGGUACCCUCAGCACGGUUGGAAAUCGUGCAGUGAGUGCAAGAGCAUAAGGGUGCUUAACUGCGAGACAGACACGUCGAGCAGAUACGAAAGUAGGUUCUAGUGAUCCGGUGGUUCUGUAUGGAAGGGCCAUCGCUCAACGGAUAAAAGGUACUCCGGGGAUAACAGGCUGAUACCGCCCAAGAGUUCACAUCGACGGCGGUGUUUGGCACCUCGAUGUCGGCUCAUCACAUCCUGGGGCUGAAGUCGGUCCCAAGGGUAUGGCUGUUCGCCAUUUAAAGUGGUACGCGAGCUGGGUUUAGAACGUCGUGAGACAGUUCGGUCCCUAUCUGCCGUGGGCGUUGGAGAUUUGAGAAGCGCUGCUCCUAGUACGAGAGGACCGGAGUGGACGUACCUCUGGUGUUCCGGUUGUCACGCCAGUGGCAUUGCCGGGUAGCUAUGUACGGACGGGAUAACCGCUGAAAGCAUCUAAGCGGGAAGCCCCCUUCAAGAUGAGAUCUCCCUGAGGCCUUGAGCCUCCUAAAGGACCCAGCAAGACCAGCUGGUUGAUAGGCCGGGUGUGGAAGCGCUGCAAGGCGUUGAGCUAACCGGUACUAAUGGUCCGUGAGGCUUGACCAU